rnacentral:rRNA from 1 species
CCUACGGGGGGCUGCAGUUGGGAAUCUUGCACAAUGGGGGAAACCCUGAUGCAGCGACGCCGCGUGGAGGAUGAAGGGUCUAGGCCUGUAAACUCCUUUUGCCAGGAAAGACUUAGGACGGUACCUGGAGAAUAAGCACCGGCUAACUACGUGCCAGCAGCCGCGGUAAGACGUAGGGUGCAAGCGUUGUCCGGAUUUACUGGGCGUAAAGAGCGCGUAGGCGGUCUGUUAAGUGUAGAGUGAAAGCUCCGGGCUCAACUCGGAAAUUGCUCUGC